CCUACGGGAGGCAGCAGUGGGGAAUAUUGGACAAUGGGGGGAACCCUGAUCCAGCCAUGCCGCGUGUGUGAAGAAGGCCCUCGGGUUGUAAAGCACUUUCAGUGAGGAAGAACGCCUGGUGGUUAAUACCCAUCAGGAAAGACAUCACUCACAGAAGAAGCACCGGCUAACUCCGUGCCAGCAGCCGCGGUAAUACGGAGGGUGCGAGCGUUAAUCGGAAUUACUGGGCGUAAAGCGCGCGUAGGUGGCUUGAUAAGCCGGUUGUGAAAGCCCCGGGCUCAACCUGGGAACGGCAUCCGGAACUGUCAAGCUAGAGGGCAGGAGAGGAAGGUAGAAUUCCCGGUGUAGCGGUGAAAUGCGUAGAGAUCGGGAGGAAUACCAGUGGCGAAGGCGGCCUUCUGGACUGACACUGACACUGGGGUGCGAAAGCGUGGGUAGCAAACAGGAUUAGAUACCCUUGUAGUC
rnacentral:rRNA from 1 species